rnacentral:rRNA from 1 species
UAGGGUCGGUUCGGCCGGAUUUCACACAGGUGUUGCAUGGCUGUCGUCAGCUCGUGUCGUGAGAUGUUGGGUUAAGUCCCGCAACGAGCGUAACCCUCAUCCUUAGUUGCAUCAGGUAAUGCUGAGCACUUUAAGGAAACUGCUAGUGAUAAACUGGAGGAAGGUGGGGAUGAUGUCAAGUCAUCAUGGCCCUUAUGGAGUGGGCUACACACGUGCUACAAUGGUGGCUACAAUGGGCUGCAAAGUCGCGAGGCCAAGCUAAUCCCUUAAAAGCCAUCUCAGUUCGGAUUGUACUCUGCAACUCGAGUGCAUGAAGUUGGAAUCGCUAGUAAUCGUGGAUCAGCAUGCCACGGUGAAUACGUUCUCGGGUCUUGUACACACUGCCCGUCACGCCAUGGGAAUUGGUUUCACUCGAAGCUAAUGACCUAACCGCAAGGAGGGAGUUAUUUAAAGUGGGAUCAGUGACUGGGGUGAAGUCGUAACAAGGUAGGCGUAGUGCU